GACGAACCGUGCGAACGUUGUUCGGAUUCACUGGGCUUAAAGGGCGCGUAGGCGGGCAAUCAAGUCAGGGGUGAAAGCCUCCAGCUUAACUGGAGAAGUGCCUCUGGUACUGGUCGUCUUGAGGGAGGUAGGGGCAUGUGGAACUUCCGGUGGAGCGGUGAAAUGCGUAGAUAUCGGAAGGAACGCCGGUGGCGAAAGCGACGUGCUGGACCUCUUCUGACGCUGAGGCGCGAAAGCUAGGGGAGCGAACGGG
rnacentral:rRNA from 1 species